rnacentral:rRNA from 1 species
AGUUUGAUCCUGGCUCAGAGUGAACGCUGGCGGCAGGCCUAACACAUGCAAGUCGAACGGCAGCACAGAGGAGCUUGCUCCUUGGGUGGCGAGUGGCGGACGGGUGAGGAACACGUCGGAAUCUACCUAUUUGUGGGGGAUAACGUAGGGAAACUUACGCUAAUACCGCAUACGACCUACGGGUGAAAGCGGAGGACCUUCGGGCUUCGCGCGGAUAGAUGAGCCGACGUCGGAUUAGCUAGUUGGUGGGGUAAAGGCCCACCAAGGCGACGAUCCGUAGCUGGUCUGAGAGGAUGAUCAGCCACACUGGAACUGAGACACGGUCCGGACUCCUACGGGAGGCAGCAGUGGGGAAUAUUGGACAAUGGGCGCAAGCCUGAUCCAGCCAUGCCGCGUGUGUGAAGAAGGCCUUCGGGUUGUAAAGCACUUUUGUCCGGAAAGAAAAGUUCCUGGUUAAUACCCGGGGAUCAUGACGGUACCGGAAGAAUAAGCACCGGCUAACUUCGUGCCAGCAGCCGCGGUAAUACGAAGGGUGCAAGCGUUACUCGGAAUUACUGGGCGUAAAGCGUGCGUAGGUGGUUUGUUAAGUCUGAUGUGAAAGCCCUGGGCUCAACCUGGGAACGGCAUUGGAUACUGGCGAUCUGGAGUGCGGUAGAGGGUGGCGGAAUUCCCGGUGUAGCAGUGAAAUGCGUAGAUAUCGGGAGGAACAUCCGUGGCGAAGGCGGCCACCUGGACCAGCACUGACACUGAGGCACGAAAGCGUGGGGAGCAAACAGGAUUAGAUACCCUGGUAGA